rnacentral:tRNA from 2 species
GCCCCUGUGGCGGAACUGGCAUACGCGUGCGGUUCAGAACCGCAUCCUGCAAGGGUUAGAGGUUCAAAUCCUCUCAGGGGCA